rnacentral:rRNA from 1 species
ACGCGCGGAACCUUACCAGGUCUUGACAUCCCAUUGACCGCUAUGGAGACAUAGCUUUCCCUUCGGGGACAGUGGUGACAGGUGGUGCAUGGUUGUCGUCAGCUCGUGUCGUGAGAUGUUGGGUUAAGUCCCGCAACGAGCGCAACCCUUGAUCUUAGUUGCCAGCAUUCAGCUGGGCACUCUAAGGUGACUGUCGGUGACAAACCGGAGGAAGGUGGGGAUGACGUCAAAUCAUCAUGCCCCUUAUGACCUGGGCUACACACGUGCUACAAUGGACGGUACAAACGGUUGCCAACCCGCGAGGGGGAGCUAAUCCGAUAAAACCGUUCUCAGUUCGGAUUGUAGGCUGCAACUCGCCUACAUGAAGCUGGAAUCGCUAGUAAUCGCGGAUCAGCAUGCCGCGGUGAAUACGUUCCCGGGCCUUGUACACACCGCCCGU